CAAGGAGCAGGCUAACGCAAACUGACAGAAAAAACCCCUGAAAAUUGCUACCCAGGAUUUCAGCAAAGAAGAUGUAGAGGAGAGAUGGGCCUAUUUCAUGGGAUCCACUGUACCAUGUAACUCCAGAAGUUGCCAGCUGACAGUGAUAAACUGGCCUCUUAAAGGUGCAUGUUAGAUGCCAGCAGCUCAGUGAUACCCCAUGAUGAGUGGUCACAACUCUUUAGGAUGUGGACAGCUCUUAAACCAAUGCAGGUUUAACUUCCUUAGGAGUUUAACCCCCAGAUAUCCCUAAGACUCUAAGUUCUAAUAAUGAAUUCUUCUGAAAAGCAGAGAAUGUGGUCCUCAUUCCCCACAGCUGAUGCCAUCAGACUGUGUGGCCACAGGUGCUCCAGUCAUUGCCUCAACCCCACAGAAGUUCCUCAGGGGGACGGACAGGAAAACAUCAGAGCACUAUCUAAAAUCUUUCACAGUAAGUGUGGCCUAGCAUUUUCUGCCAGUUUCUGCAUAAUCCUCUUUCUUAAUGGUCCAAAAAUCACAGCUAGAAUAAGCGUUGUGACCCACGUCAAAGAAUAGAGAACAGUACAUUUCUCAAAUAACCCCAUCAUUACAAAAGUAUUUUUUUCAAUCUCCUUUUGGGGAAAUUAUUUCUCUUUCUUGCAUUUUUCAGGCAGAAUGAAAAUGGAGCCAAUGAAAGGGAAUUAAAUUUUGGGAUCCCCAAACUCAUGUAGCCAAAGGGAAAAGUCAAGCUGGGAACUUGGUCACGCAAACCUGCCUCCCCCAUUUGGCUCCUAAGUAAGAUGGCUACAAGAUGAAAAGCUACAUGCCUCCCCUAUAUUUUGCCUACAAGGAAAUUCCUGAUGAGCUGCAAGAUCUUUUAAGGUGUUUCUGUUAAAAUUUCACCAUGGCAAUGCAAAUUGAUAGCUUAUCUUUACAGGUGCAGUUACCCACAGCCCACCAGACACAAAUGCAUAUCUGAUUAUUCCCUUACCCCAUUUUUGCCUGUGUUAUCAUAUGUAAAAUGCAGAUUCUCUGCAUUUUUCCUCUGCCCCAUUUGUCUAGGUCAUCUUAUGAAAAAAAAAAAUUGUAGAUUCACUGAGCCAGACAAAGGCAUGAAUGACUAUUUUUCCCUAACUCCCUGUUACAUGCAAAUUGUGUACUUCUCAAUAUCCCGCCAUUUACCCUUUAAAUUUUGAGCCCCCAAAAUCAUCUUCAGAGAAAGGCAAAGACCUGUCUUCUGGGUGUGUGUCUUUAAUUUUGGCAAA
rnacentral:lncRNA from 1 species